rnacentral:misc_RNA from 1 species
UGGUCCGCUGACAGGCUACGUGCAUGCGACAGACGGAAGAGCGUACCUCAGUUCUUGAAGUUAACGGCGCACCCUCCUUUCUCAUAAAACAAUGCCCGUUUUCCUCAAUCUCGCUUCUUUGACGCUCCUCAGCAGACCUCGUUUCACGCUGUGACUGUGCACGCCAUGACGUGAUUAAGCACAUUUCCCUGGGCUCCCUCGAGUUAUCUCCGUGAGGUCCGUACGGCUGCCCCUUCCCAACCCUGUGCCCCCUUCGCUGCGACAGGCUGUGAGCUCUCUGCGCGCUGGCGCACGUCCGUCUGCGGGCCCCUUUGCGCCUGCCACACCGGCUCCUGUGUGAGGCGUGCGGAUGCAGGAGGAGGCGGAAUGCCCCCCGCCGCCACAGACUCACGGCAGUGUCGCACCUGCCACGGUGCAUGUGGGCAGGCCAUCCAGGCACGCCCCCCGUGUCAUUGCCGGCAACGGCAGAUGGUGGCAGCGAGCCCUUCCUCCCCUCCCGCCAACAAGGGUGCCUUGAAGCAGGCCGCACGCUGCGAAUGUGCGAGCGCUGUGCGCACGCGCAGUUGGGCAGAGCCGGCAUGGUGCAUCGCAUUCCCGACGAAGCAUCCAGAGGUGCGAAGAGCGCGAGUGAUGAGCGAGAGAGGAGCCCCGUAGUACAUGCCGAUUAUGCCCACAGCGCAUGCGCGCGCAGCAUGCGGCAUCUCCUCCAUCCCACCGUGCGGCCGGAUGAGGCGCCGACCGCGCGGCACGUACCCGAAGAGGGGACGAGGCGGGAGAGGAGGGGCCCGCUAGACGCAUGUCCCGAUUCGACGGCAUGACGGUUGCUCCUAGACGGCCAGGACGUCGCCGCAGCGCGGCAGUGGGCGCGUGGGCUGCAACUGUGCAUGCGUGUGCCUUUGCUGGCUUGCGCGUGGUUUAAUGGCACGUUGUAGCGAAG